GUGUCAGCAGCCGCGGUACUACGAAAGGGGCUAGCGUUGUUCGGAAUUACUGGGCGUAAAGCGCGCGUAGGCGGCCUUGCAAGUUGGGGGUGAAAUCCCGGAGCUCAACUCCGGAACUGCCUUCAAAACUGCAAAGCUAGAGGAUGCGAGAGGUGAGCGGAAUUCCGAGUGUAGAGGUGAAAUUCGUAGAUAUUCGGAAGAACACCAGUGGCGAAGGCGGCUCACUGGCGCAUUUCUGACGCUGAGGCGCGAAAGCGUGGGGAGCAAACAGGAUUAGAUACCCUGGUAGUCCACACCGUAAACGAUGAAUGCCAGUCGUCGGCGCGCAUGCGUGUCGGUGACACACCUAACGGAUUAAGCAUUCCGCCUGGGGAGUACGGUCGCAAGAUUAAAACUCAAAUGAAUUGACGGGG
rnacentral:rRNA from 1 species